CCAAUAGCGUAUAUUAAAGUUGUUGCAGUUAAAAAGCUCGUAGUUGAACUUCGGGAUCAAUUGAUUGGUCAUGCCUUGGUAUGUACUGUUCAUAUUGGUUCUCACCUUCUAAUGAACCAUAAUGUCAUUUAUUUGAUGUUAUGGGGAAUUAGGACUGUUACCUUGAAAAAAUUAGAGUGUUUAAAGCAGGCUCACGCUUGAAUACAUUAGCAUGGAAUAAUGAAAUAGGACAUCGCAUUCUAUUUUGUUGGUUUCUAGGAUCGAUGUAAUGAUUAAUAGGGAUAGUUGGGGGCAUUAGUAUUCAAUUGUCAGAGGUGAAAUUCUUGGAUUUAUUGAAGACUAACUACUGCGAAAGCAUUUGCCAAGGAUGUUUUCAUUAAUCAAGAACGAAAGUUAGGGGAUCGAAGACGAUCAGAUGCCGUCGUAGUCUUAACCAUAAACUAUGCCGACUAGGGAUCGGAUGAUGUUGAUUUUUUAAUGACUCAUUCGGCACCUUACG
rnacentral:rRNA from 1 species